rnacentral:rRNA from 1 species
UACGUAGGGUGCAAGCGUUAAUCGGAAUUACUGGGCGUAAAGCGUGCGCAGGCGGUUUUGUAAGUCUGUCGUGAAAUCCCCGGGCUCAACCUGGGAAUGGCGAUGGAGACUGCAAGGCUAGAGUUUGGCAGAGGGGGGUAGAAUUCCACGUGUAGCAGUGAAAUGCGUAGAUAUGUGGAGGAACACCGAUGGCGAAGGCAGCCCCCCUGGGUCAAAAACUGACGCUCAUGCACGAAAGCGUGGGGAGCAAACAGG